rnacentral:sRNA from 1 species
AAAAAAGCUGUCUAGGGUUCCGUUGGUUGUUUGUCCUACCAAGUCUGGUCCGAGAGAGAGCGUAUAGCGAAUUCGCUAUAUACACGGAGGGAUAAAAGCCUGGGAGAC